rnacentral:rRNA from 1 species
UACGUAGGGUGCGAGCGUUGUUCGGAUUCAUUGGGCGUAAAGGGUGCGUAGGUGGCGCUGUAAGUCGGGUGUGAAAUUUCGGAGCUUAACUCCGAAACUGCAUUCGAUACUGCCGUGCUUGAGGACUGGAGAGGAGACUGGAAUUUACGGUGUAGCGGUGAAAUGCGUAGAUAUCGUAAGGAAGACCAGUGGCGAAGGCGGGUCUCUGGACAGUUCCUGACGCUGAGGCACGAAGGUCAGGGGAGCAAACGGG